rnacentral:misc_RNA from 1 species
UCGCAGGACCCCUAUGGGCUG